rnacentral:rRNA from 1 species
AUUGAACGCUGGCGGCAGGCCUAACACAUGCAAGUCGAGCGGAUGAGUGGAGCUUGCUCCAUGAUUCAGCGGUGGACGGGUGAGUAAUGCCUAGGAAUCUGCCUGGUAGUGGGGGACAACGUUUCGAAAGGAACGCUAAUACCGCAUACGUCCUACGGGAGAAAGCAGGGGACCUUCGGGCCUUGCGCUAUCAGAUGAGCCUAGGUCGGAUUAGCUAGUUGGUGAGGUAAAGGCUCACCAAGGCGACGAUCCGUAACUGGUCUGAGAGGAUGAUCAGGCACACUGGAGCUGAGACACGGUCCAGGAUCCUACGGGAGGAAGCAGUGGGGAAUAUUGGACAAUGGGCGAAAGCCUGAUCCAGACAUGCCGCGUGUGUGAAGAAGGUCUUCGGAUUGUAAAGCACUUUAAGUUGGGAAGAAGGGCAGUAAGUUGAUACCUUGCUGUUUUGUCGUUACCGACAGAAUAAGCACCGGCUAACUUCGUGCCAGCCGCCGCAGUAAGAC